GAAAAGGUGAAUCCAACCCAAAUGUAAGACUGCUACUCAAUAGGACAGAAAAGGCAUGGAUGUCAGUGAGAUGGGAAAAAAAAUGUGUGCCAAAGGAGAUCAGGAAGGACUGAAUAGAAGACAUGGCCUUUGAAUUGAAGCCUUUAAUGAGGAAAGGGGAUUGACAUUGUAUGAGGGCCAGGGUGGAGAGCGGGUUGUGAAGAGGAUAGGGAAAAUGCAAGGACACUGCGGAUAUAAGAAUUAAUGGGAGAAUCAUGGGCCACAGAGCAGCAGGAUUAUAUUACACAGGUUGUAAGUAGUGUUUAUUGAAGCACAGGGUACUGGGGAGGUGGAGGAAAGAUGAAACUGUUAAGGAAUUUAGACACAGCAUGUAGUGGCUGGCAGGAAACAGAUGACACUCUCAAACAGGGUAGUUGAGGAGAGCUAAUAAAGGGACCAUUUACCAAGGUGUAGUUAGGAUUAAGAGAAAGCAAACUGGGAUGGUGCUGUGCUAUGGGCUAGCAACAGCAGGAAGUCAUUUCUGUCCCUAGGUCUGAAGAGGGAAGCAGGGGAGCCAACACCAAGGAACCAGAGAUCUUAGAGUCUGCAAGUCUGCAUGAUAGAAGCCAUGGCCUUUAGUAGAGGGAUCGUGCCUACUCUUAGCAGCCUGGCUUGGAGGGGCCUGGGGAAAUAAUACCCCAAUCUCUCUCCUCUUCUUCAAUAUUGAUGACUUCCAUUGGUUGAUAUCAAACUGGAAGUUGGAGAGAAAGGGAGUCUAUCUAUACAAGUCAGCACCCUGGAGCCCAGAAGAGAGUAUAAAGGGGGUAAAAAGCAGUUUCCGAGGGACAAACAGAAAACACCCAGCACAGAAGGAGGAACAAACAUUUGGAGGAACAAACAGAAAAUAUCAGAAAACAUUUUAAUCCUGGGUCCUGGGACGUCAUGGAAGGUUUUGAAGUUAGGAGCACCGCCAUCCUCUAGGGGGAGCUCAAGGAUUUCUCUCCACUCAUCCCCAAGGCGAUGCAUCAAAAGAUCAGGGCGAAACAGACUUCAAGGAAAGAGCCCUUGGCUAGAGGAAGAAGCCUGGAGAAGUAAAGGGAUUGCUCCUGGAAUUGAAAAUCUACCCUUUGCACUUCUAUUUACUGCAUUUGGAUUGAUUUGCAAGAAUAACCAUUAAAAUAAUCAAAGCUAAAAGUACAACAGAGUUAGUGUACUCACACCACCCUGUUCCUCCCACUGAAUGCGGCUAAAAAACCUGGGCAGAAUAAGUGGAGCAUCUGAGGACUCUGAAAAGUAAAUAAUAGCAGGCAGAUUGGAGAUGAAGACCAAAAUGAAAACCUUUCACUGGAGAACAGUCUUCCCCCACACUAUCCCAUAGAAAUACUGUUCACUAUAUCUGGUUCAGGAGGACUGACUCUCCCAACUCCUUUCUCCAGGAGUGGACACAUGAUCCAGGACUGGCCAGAAUUCUACAUCAAG
rnacentral:lncRNA from 1 species